GUGGGGAAUCUUCCGCAAUGGACGAAAGUCUGACGGAGCAACGCCGCGUGAGUGAUGAAGGUCUUCGGAUUGUAAAGCUCUGUUAAUCGGGACGAAAGAGCCUAGUGUGAAUAAUGCUAGGAAGUGACGGUACCGGAAUAGAAAGCCACGGCUAACUACGUGCCAGCAGCCGCGGUAAUACGUAGGUGGCAAGCGUUGUCCGGAAUUAUUGGGCGUAAAGCGCGCGCAGGCGGAUCUGCCAGUCUGUCUUAAAAGUUCGGGGCUUAACCCCGUGAUGGGAUGGAAACUACAGAUCUAGAGUAUCGGAGAGGAAAGUGGAAGUCCUAGUGUAGCGGUGAAAUGCGUAGAUAUUAGGAAGAACACCAGUGGCGAAGGCGACUUUCUGGACGAAAACUGACGCUGAGGCGCGAAAGCCAGGGGAGCGAACGGGAUUAGAUACCCCGGUAGUCC
rnacentral:rRNA from 1 species